GCUGCAGGCGCGAAACUUACCCACUCGAGACUUUCGGAGGAGGUAAUGACCAGUUUCAUGUGAAGCUUAUGCUUCUGUGAAUAGGAUCACACUUUUCCAGUGUGGUGAAACCUAGCAGAGGGCCAGUCUGGUGCCAGCAGCUGCGGUAAUUCCAGCUCUGCGAGUUUGCUCCCAUAUUGUUGCAGUUAAAACGCCCGUAGUCGGAAUUGGACAGCAAUGUCCCUACGUUUCAACGUUCACUGUGAACAAAUCAGGACGCUUAGAGUAUGGUAACAAGAAUGACUCAGCGCAGUAUGAAGUCUUUGUUUCUUUCGGGAAACAAGCUCAAUGAGAGCCAUCGGGGGUGGAUCUAUUUCAUGGCGAGUGGUGGAAUACUUUGACCCAUGAGAGAGACACGGAGGCGAAGGCGUCCACCUAGAGGGUUUCUGUCGAUCAAGGGCGAGAGUAGGAGUAUCCAACCGGAUUAGAGACCCGGGUAGUUCCUACUGUAAACGAUGCCGACAGAGGUUUGUCAUUUUAUAAUGGCAGAACUUUUAGAGAAAUCAUAGUUCUUGGGCUCUGGGGGAACUACGACCGCAAGGCUGAAACUUGAAGGAAUUGACGGAAGGGCACACCAGGGGUGGAGCCUGUGGCUUAAUUUGAAUCAACACGGGGAAACUUACCAGGACCAGAUGUUUUUUAUGACUGACAGGCUUCGGGUCUUUCAGGAUAUUGCUUUUGGUGGUGCAUGGCCGUUGGUGGUGCGUGGGUUGACCUGUCUAGCGUUGAUUCAGCUAACGAGCGAGAUUAUCGCCAAUUAUAUACCUCGCAUUGGCUUCAGUGUUGAGGUUCUAAUUGGGACUCCCUGCGAUUUUAGCAGGCGGAAGAGGGUAGCAAUAACAGGUCCGUGAUGUCC
rnacentral:rRNA from 1 species